AAGGGAGUUACAGACAAGGGUGCUUUUAUGACCCUUCCUCUGUACCAUCAACCUAAAAAAACAUCAUUGAGAACCCAAUUACUGACCUUUUUGGCCUUGGAAAUAUACAACAGAAAAUACAAGACCCAAACAGUCCCCUCAAUAAACAGACAUACAACUGAAAUUUGUGCCAUGAUAUGACCCCCCAAAAUAGAUGAUGCAUAAUGUGAUCACAAAUGCUUUGAUAUAUAGUAUGAAAUGGUUUGUGUGAGGGUGAUUUUUUCUCAUUUUUCUCGCUUAGAGGGACCAUUAAGAAACAUGAUCCCUACCACCACCACCACUGGGUGAAAUAUGUUAGGUUGCAAAUAUUUCCACGAGUCACUACAUCACUUGAAGGCUUUCCAUAUACGCUGUGUUGCUAGUAUUUCCAAGGGUGGUUUUACGAGCCUUGACACCGUGGCAAGGCUAACGGAACAGCCACCCAUGACAGCCUGACCCAUACCCUUAACAGCCGUGGGAAAUUGCCGUCUUGAGAUCUCAAAACAGUGCCCGCCAGACUCAACGUCAUAUGGUGGUGAAGAUUUUAACGCAGGUACACAAAGACGCAGAGACGGACACUCAACCCUAAGGUGGAGACGUCGGCCGAAGAUGUUGACGUAGCGAUCCCAGAUGCAGGGACGAACGGUCAACCGUGGGGUCAAACAUCAGAUAUCAACCCGUUUUUUCAACCUGUACAUAUCUGCUGCCGAAUAUGGAUGAGGGAAAUAUAUUUUAAACCAAUUUAUUUUUUUCCUGUUACGUAUAUUUAUUUCAUAGAGGUCAGAGUUCACCACCCGUACUGCACGCAUGGGUGGGUAAAAGACAUGUAUAUAUAUAACCGUACGUGUUUGAGGAUAAUCUCCCUCCAUAGUCAGGAUUCACACAUGACUAGGUUACGUAUGGUCAUUGUUUAACACUUUCCAACUUUUUUCUAGUUAUUUAUUGAGGUACAAGCCUAACAGAGGUGUCCCCAUAUAGGCCUGAACCCCUCUCUGAUACCUGGCCUGUACUGCUGCUCUCAAAUGAUGUCAAACUAUAUUUUUUAAGGUGAAGGGAGACAGCUCUAGCAGGGAACGGAACCUGACGGAACCUCCCUCGCUAGACGCCGAUCCGACAGGCUUGUUAGGGGUCACCUGAAGCACUGGGCGGCAGCUUACAGAAUGGGUUAGGUCGUUAGGAUACUCAAGCCAGCAGUGUGGGUUAGUGUGCAGCAGAAAUGAAAUGCGUUCACAUGCAAAAGCCAUACGUGCUGUUAUGGAAGCCAGAGAGA